rnacentral:rRNA from 1 species
AGCAGCAGCCGCGGGAAUACGGAGGGUGCAAGCGUUAAUCGGAAUUACUGGGCGUAAAGCGUGCGUAGGCGGUUCGUUAAGUCUGUUGUGAAAGCCCCGGGCUCAACCUGGGAAUGGCAAUGGAUACUGGCGAGCUAGAGUGUGUCAGAGGAUGGUGGAAUUCCCGGUGUAGCGGUGAAAUGCGUAGAGAUCGGGAGGAACAUCAGUGGCGAAGGCGGCCAUCUGGGACAACACUGACGCUGAGGCACGAAAGCGUGGGGAGCAAACAGGAUUAGAUACCCCGGUAGUCCCUGUCUCUUAUAC